rnacentral:rRNA from 1 species
AGCGAACGCUGGCGGCAGGCUUAACACAUGCAAGUCGAACGCAUCCUUCGGGGUGAGUGGCAGACGGGUGAGUAACGCGUGGGAACGUGCCCUUCAGUUCGGGAUAACCCAGGGAAACUUGGGCUAAUACCGGAUACGUGCGAGAGCAGAAAGAUUUAUCGCUGAAGGAUCGGCCCGCGUUUGAUUAGCUAGUUGGUGGGUGAAUGGCCCACCAAGGCGACGAUCAGUAGCAGGUCUGAGAGGAUGAUCAGCCACAUUGGGCAUGAGACACGGCCCAAACUCCUACGGGAGGCAGCAGUGGGGAAUAUUGGACAAGGUGCUCAAGCCUGAUCCAGCCAUGCCGCGUGAGUGAUGAAGGCCUUAGGGUUGUAAAGCUCUUUCGUCCGGGACGUUAAUGACGGUACCGGAAGAAGAAGCCCCGGCUAACUUCGUGCCAGCCGCCGCAGUAA